AUACGGAGGAUCCGAGCGUUAUCCGGAUUUAUUGGGUUUAAAGGGUGCGUAGGCGGACUGGUAAGUCAGUGGUGAAAUCCUGCAGCUUAACUGUAGAAUUGCCGUUGAUGCUGUUAGUCUUGAGUACAUUUGAGGUAGGCGGAAUGUGGUGUGUAGCGGUGAAAUGCAUAGAUAUACCACAGAACACCGAUUGCGAAGGCAGCUUACUAAACUGUAACUGACGCUGAGGCACGAAAGCGUGGGUAUCAAACAGGAUUAGAUACCCUGGUAGUCCACGCUGUAAACGAUGAUUACUGGUUGUUUGCGAUACACUGCAAGUGACUGAGCGAAAGCAUUAAGUAAUCCACCUGGGGAGUACGUCGGCAACGAUGAA
rnacentral:rRNA from 1 species